rnacentral:lncRNA from 1 species
CUUAUCUCUCCCCCUUUAACCCUAUUAGGGGCCUGGGACCCUUGUUCCUACUCGGUCCUAUUGGGGGUCCAGGAGCUCUAUGGGGUUCUAUGGGGCUCUAUGGGGUUCUAUGGGUCUCUAUGGGCUCUAUAGAGUUCUAUGGGUCUCUAUGGGUCUCUGACCCCUUACCUGUCCCCUUUAACCAUAUAGGGCGGCUGGACCCCCGUCCUAUCGUCCUAUUGGUGUCCAGGGAGCUCUAUGGGGUUCUGGGGCUCUAUGGGGUGUUUAUUGAGGGCUCUAGGCUUCCAUAUUAUAGGGUUCUAUGGGUCUCUAUGGGUCUCGCGUUUUAUGGGUCUCUCAGGUCCAAUGUAUGGGGGUUCUAUGGGGUCUCUAUGGGGUCUUUAUGGGUCUUUAGGUCCAUUAUGGGGUUCUAUGGGGAUCUAUGGAGUCUCUAUGGGGUUCUAUGGGUCUCUAUGGGUCUCUAUGGGUCUCUGACCCCUUACCUGUCCCCCUUUAACCCUAUAGGGGCCUGGACCCCCGUUCCUACUCGGUCCUGUUGGGGGUUCUCCAGGAGCUCUAUUGGGGGUUCUAUGUGGAGUCUCUAUGGGGUUCUAUAGAGUUCUAUGGGUCUCUAUGGGUCUCUGAACCCCUUACCCUGUCCCUUUAACCCUAUGGGCCUGAGACCCGUUCCUACUCGUUUUCCUGUGGGGGGUCCAGGAGCCUUCUAUGGGGCUUAUAUGGCUCUAUGAAGUUCUAUGGGUCUCUAUGGGUCUCUAUGGGGUUCUAUGGGUCUCUAUGGGUCUCUAUGGGUCUCUAGGUCCAUAUGGGGUCUCUAUAGGGUUCUGUGGGGUUCUAUGGGUCUCUAUGGGGUCUCUAUGGGGUUCUAUGGUGUCUAUGGGUUUCUAUGGGGUGAUUAUGGGGUUCUAAGGGUCUCUCUGGGGUCUCUAUGGGUCUCUAUGGGUCUCUGACCCCUUACCUGUCCCCCUUUAACCCUAUAGGGGCCUGGACCCCCGUUCCUACUCGGUCCUAUUGGGGGUCCAGGAGCUCUAUGGGGUUCUAUGGGGCUCUAUGGGGCUCUAUGGGGUUCUAAGGGUUUCUUUGUGGCUCUAUAGGGUCUCUAUGGGGCUCUAGGUCCAUAUGGGGUUCUAUAGGGUUCUAAGGGGUUCUGUGAGGCUCUAUGGGGUCUGUAUGGGGUUCUUUGGGGCUCCAGUUCCAUAUAGGGUUCUAAGGGGCUGUAUGGGAUUCUAUAGGGUUCUAUGGGGCUCCAUGGGUCUCUAUGGGUCUCUGACCCUUACUGUCCCCUUUAACCCUGAUAGGGGCCUGGACCCCCGUUUUCUACUCGGUUCCUGUUGGGGUCAGGAAGCAUUCUAUGGGGUCCUAUGGGGUCUCUAUGGGGUUCUAUGGGACUCUAGGUCCAUUAUGGUGUUCUAUGGGGUCUCUAUGGGGCUCUAUGGGUCUCUAGGUCCAUAUGGGGUUCUAUUAGGGGUUUCUAUGUGCUCUAUAGGGCGCUAUGUGUUCUAUUAGGUAUCUAUGUGCUC